UGACCUACAUGGUAGAAGGAGAAAACCAACUCCCACAAGUUGUCCUCUUCCACAUGUGCGAUGGCACACACAAAGAAAGGAUAUAUAUAUAUAUAUAUAUUAAUUAUACAUUUUAAAGUAACUGAAUGUCCCUAAUGGAAUAAGUAACACUAACAAAAACCACGGUCAUUAGUGUCAGGGUUCUUCCUUUGGUUCUGUUUAACUGGGACUCGGUAUCUUAAGGCAGCCCAAACAGACACAGAAAGAAACAAAUACAGGGAGGAUCCUCACCCCACCCAGCUAAUCGAGGGGAUUGACUUACAUAGUAAGAUUUAGUAGCCAGAACAAUACAGAGCUGCCACCCACAUCAACCUCUGCAGUUAAGAAAUUCCAAUUACAGGUGGUUGUGACCCACCAUGUGGUUGCUGGGAAUUGAACUCAGGACCUCUUAACCGCUGAGCCAUCUCUCAGCCCCACCUGUAUGGAUUUUUUGAGACAGGAUCUUAUGAAUUACAAGGUGAACUGGAUUUAGUAUGGAGGUGAUGGCGCCACCGCGACACAGUUACUGUCCUGCUGGCUUCCUGCCUAGAGUUCCUGUCCUGGCUUCUCUGGAUGAUAAAGUACAAACUC
rnacentral:lncRNA from 1 species